ACCUCGCCCCUGUCUCCUGCAGGUGGUGACCUGUCACGCGGUGGCCGACAGCGUGCAGUUCUUGGUGAGCGCAGGGCCCGCCCCCGCCCAGAGCGCAGGAUGCCGGCUCUACGACGUGCGGCUCUCCCCGGCUCAUCUGCAGCUGGAGUUCCACCUGGAAGAAAAGAGAGAGGACAUCCGGGUCACGUGGUCCCUCAUCAAUGUGCCCGAGACGUCCGUGGACGUGCAGCCCAGAGCCGCGGGGGAGGGCCCGGUGCUCGAGACAAACACGGUCCUGGAGCCGCUCAGGGACAUCCUGAAGCAUCUGGUCAGCUCUGCCUCUCCGUCCCUGGCUCUGAGCGCCAAGCCUACGGACGCCAAGGAAGCCCAGACCCUCCAGCGCGCUCCGGCCGCUGCCCAGGACCCCUGCCCCCCCAAGCCGCCGAGGGCGCAUGAGCUGAAGCUGCUGGUGAGGAACGUCCGAGCCUCGCUGCUGAACGACGCUGGCGCUUCAGGCUCCGCUCAGCCUGUGUGCACCGCGCAGCUGAACGACCCCCUGCAGAGGUUCUCCAGCGGCCUCGCGAGAUGCACCACUGACCUCACGUGGGAAGAAGAGUUCACCUUGUGAGUCUGCGCCGUCCCCACUGCCCCCGGAGAGAACAU